AUCGCCGCACUCGUUCGAGGUGUCCGCCAGCGCUUCCCGCCGGCGGGUGAAACGGGAAACAGGUACGGCGCGUAGCUGCGCCCAAGCCUGUGCUGCCCCCGCAACGGUAGGUGAGCGCGGGUCUGUCACGAUGCCACUGCAAGAGAAGCGCUUGCGGGAAGGCGACAGAUCCGAUCCCACGAGCCCGGAGACCGGCCUUGCGCGACAAGUGGAA
rnacentral:ncRNA from 2 species